CAGAGGGAGCGCCUGCGGUCCGCGCCCCCGUUCGGGACGUGGGGGUCGCAGGUUCAAAUCCUGCCACUCCGACCA
rnacentral:tRNA from 2 species